GCACUCACUUGGCAAACUUAUCGAAAGGUAAGGACGCAAAGUCACCGGCCUAAAGGAAAGCUAUGGUAGCGGGACUGCGAUA
rnacentral:ncRNA from 1 species